GCGGGAUUAGUUUAGCGGUAAAACACGAACCUUCCAAGUUUGAGUCGCCGGUUCAACUCCGGCAUCCCGCA
rnacentral:tRNA from 1 species